CCACAUUCCUCCCGUCUGAAACCAAGCGCUGGCAUGUAUCAAAAUAAAAGUGCAGUCUCGACAUAAACUGUUCCCUGGAAUGUUUAUCUGUGCCAGUCGGGAUGUUGUGGAUGAACUCCAGACUCUCCUCCCCGGCUCCCUUAUGAAAGGCGGGCCCGCCGCAUGCCAGCCACCGAAUCGGAAAUGAAAAACUCCCCGAGAAAGCUCGGAGUAGCAGGAAUGUGCGAUCUGCGCCAGCAGACGUACUCGCACUACAUGCGUACGGACUGAGAGGAAGUUGGCCUUAUAAGGGAAUGUUCACUUUCAGGCGCUCCCUCGCUCCCUCGCUCCCUCGCCCGCUUGCUGGCCCUCUCCCCUCCGGCAGGCGUACAGGAGGAGUGUCCCCACCUUGCACUGUCCGACAGCCGUCGCGCUGGUGUUCCUGGAUGCUAAUGUGCUCCAUCCGUCAGCGCUGGUUCAUUUGGGGUGAAGCCAGUCACCACCUCUGUCCAGCCUUUGUUCUCGUUCAAGACAAAUGAUGGCGGCCAAAUGGGGGCGUGUUUGUCUGCUGCAGGACAGACAAACUGACACACCGAUGGGGAUAAAAUAAGAUAAGAUCAGAUUAUAUGGAAAAAUAACUCCCACCAACAAUCAAGCACAACAAUCCUUUAUUUGCCAUUUGCACAAGUACACAUACAGGUACGUUGGGAUGCUUCUCUUUGCCGACACCAUCUUGCUCUCCAUAGCUUGGGGGUCACAGUACAGGGUCAGCUGAUGUACGGGGCCCCUGGAGCUGGGGGUUAAGGGCCUUGCUCAAGGGCCCACGGACAUGUGACUGUUCUGCCAAGGCCUGGGCUCAAGCCAACGAUCUUCUGAUCAGAGAUACAGAGCCACUCACCCCUCCCCACACUAACACUAUUACUAAGUGAUAGGAAAGGGUAUAAGGGUAUGGAGGCACUGGAUGUGACGCCGACAGUGUGUUGGGGGCAAGUCAAACAUCAACAUCCCACUGCACUCAUGCAGAACCCACUGUCAGCGCGUCUGCAGUUAUCUCGUCUCGCCGGGCCUGCUGUCGCGUGCCUUUCCCAAGAAACUCCCCAGUCAGUGGAGAAUAGGUAAAUUCUUUCGGCUCUGUUAAGCUUUAAUGUCAUGCCCUCUGAUUUUCCACACUGUCUGGCUGCGGCAUGGCAGCUAUUUCAGAGUCGCUGCUCCAGAUGGGGCUCCUGCUGCAUUACACCUGUUUCAGUUUCCCAUCAGCGCCCGUGUUUCAGCGUCUAAGUUAUCACCCCCGGCGCUCUCCGGGCCCUCGAGCCGUCGGGUUGGAUCGUAGCUAGUUUUAGAAAAAUCACCUAUUACGUUAGCUAUGCAGACUGUAUUAUUGGAGUGACAGUUCAAAAGAAAGGUCAAAGGUCAGCCCAUGAUGAAGUGGAAAGGAUUCCAUAUUUGGUGUAAAUAAAGCUAUGCCAGUUUUAAUUGGGCAAAGACAGCCAUGUGACCAAACUGGUGGGCAUAUGGGUUAGGGUGGGUGGGUAAUUUAGUGUUCCCAGGGUAAAAAUAACAAAGACACAUUAGUAAGAGAGACUGCCAAACGGUAAUCUUCUCUGCCCCAUUUCCAUUCUCCUCAGGCUGGUAUUUAGGUGACUUGAAUUACAGACAUUCUACCAGAACAUUCUUCCUCCGAAUCCAUAAUCUUUAACGAAUCCAAAGAAAACAGCAUAAAGCCAAUUCAUCCAUCUUGACUACUCCAGCAUUUUUUACCGGUAAUUUGAAUGAUGAUGAACAGCAUGUGGUUUGUGAAACAUUAUUGUCAGUUAGACUGAAGUUUAAUUUGUUGUCUUUAUCAUUAAAUGUGUCAUUUCUGAUGUUUAA